GAUGAAGAACGCAGCGAAAUGCGAUAAGUAAUGUGAAUUGCAGAAUUCAGUGAAUCAUCGAGUCUUUGAACGCACAUUGCGCCCCCUGGUAUUCCGGGGGGCAUGCCUGUCCGAGCGUCAUUGCUGCCCUCAAGCACGGCUUGUGUGUUGGGCUCCGCCCCCCUCCCGGGGGGCGGGCCCGAAAGGCAGCGGCGGCACCGCGUCCGGUCCUCGAGCGUAUGGGGCUUUGUCACCCGCUCUGUAGGCCCGGCCGGCGCCCGCCGGCGACCCCAAUCAAUCUUUCCAGGUUGACCUCGGAUCAGGUAGGGAUACCCGCUGAACUUAAGCAUAUCAAAAGCGGAGGA
rnacentral:misc_RNA from 1 species